rnacentral:rRNA from 1 species
AACGAACGCUGGCGGCAGGCUUAACACAUGCAAGUCGAACGCAUCCUUCGGGGUGAGUGGCAGACGGGUGAGUAACGCGUGGGAACGUGCCCUUCAGUUCGGGAUAACCCAGGGAAACUUGGGCUAAUACCGGAUACGUGCGAGAGCAGAAAGAUUUAUCGCUGAAGGAUCGGCCCGCGUCUGAUUAGCUAGUUGGUGGGGUAAUGGCCCACCAAGGCGACGAUCAGUAGCUGGUCUGAGAGGAUGAUCAGCCACAUUGGGACUGAGACACGGCCCAAACUCCUACGGGAGGCAGCAGUGGGGAAUAUUGGACAAUGGGCGCAAGCCUGAUCCAGCCAUGCCGCGUGAGUGAUGAAGGCCUUAGGGUUGUAAAGCUCUUUCGUCCGGGGCGAUAAUGACGGUACCUAACCAGAAAGCCACGGCUAACUACGUGCCAGCCGCCGCGGUAA